UUUACAAUUUGUUGAAUUUUCAAAAAUCUUUAAAGGAUUUUGGAAGAAAAUUUCCAAAAAAUUUCCUUGCACUCAGCCAAAUUGCAGCAGAUCUUUUUCUAACCAACGGACGCGAAAUUUCCAUAUGAAACAUUUCUGCAACAAACCUCGAAGAUUUGGCUGCGGAUAUUGUAAUUACAGAGGAAUCCAGUCAACAGAUGU